AUUAUAUAAAGUAUUGUUUGCCUCUCUCCUGUGCCUCCACGUCGGAUCCAGCCUGGAAAGUCGGAUCCUGUAGCGACGACACCUGUCCAUUCAACCGAAACACACCGUUUCAUUUAAGUAAUAAUACGAUUGAUGCGGGCUUUAACGUGUUUUGUUUUUUCUUUACUUAUUUUUGAUGGGUUUACUGGGCUAUUUUUGAUUAAUCAGAAUGUCAAGUGUUCAGCCCAAUAGCAAUACAGUUCUAUUGGCAACGGCAUUUUCUGAGAUUAGGGUAUUAUCUCAUUCGUCGAUCUGUGCUAGACCAACAAUGGUGAUACAAACAUAUCCAGUUAGAUGAAUCGUUGUGAAGAGACUCUUUGUGAUGCUUCCAUAACGUUGUUUCGUCUUUAGUUCCUGUCAUCUGAAAUAUUACAAGAUGUCUUGAUUCAUCGUCUUUAAUACACAUCUUAACUCAAUCAGCGUAAAUCAAGGGAUACUUAUCCCUGUUCUAGGCGUUGUUUAUCCACCUAUAAAAAGAAUGAAGAAAUUUCUUAGAUCACAAAUCUUCCUGCUGUUCAUCUGGAGAUGGGAAAGAUCAUGAUUCGGGAGGGUGAUGAAGCUGCGGCUCAGGAGGAUGAGAGGUUGGGAAGGAGCCUGAGGUAGAGAGGAAAAGAGACGCGGAACCAGAGUUUGGAAAGCAGUAAGAAGGAGGAGAAGCAUAAAGCUUUGAAGGAGAUAGAGAUGAUUAAUAGUGCUGCGUACAAGGAGAGAGAGAUACAGAAACAGGAAGAGGUGAAGUGGGCUGGUGAGAGAGAGAGGAAGCGUGUAGAAGAAUAAGAAGAGGAGACCCGAGAGAGCGCAGAGUGUCAGGCUGCAGAGUGAGAAGCUACUCGACUGAGAAUGAGCCAAGAGAGAGCAAGGACCUUAUGCUACACAUGCUACAAGAGUCAGCAGAAGUUAUUUGAUACUUUGUCGAUGCUAGAUGAAGUCUUUGAUAAGUUCUUUGAAUCAUCAUAAACAUAUAUGCAUUACAUUUCUAUAUAGAUGAAUUAGAAAACAUGUUUUAUGUGUCUCAAAGGUGAAAAUAUAAUGAACAGGUUUUGAAACUGUUAAA